rnacentral:rRNA from 1 species
AGGCAGCAGUGGGGAAUUUUGGACAAUGGGCGAAAGCCUGAUCCAGCAAUGCCGCGUGCAGGAUGAAGGCCUUCGGGUUGUAAACUGCUUUUGUACGGAACGAAAAAGCUCCUUCUAAUACAGGGGGCCCAUGACGGUACCGUAAGAAUAAGCACCGGCUAACUACGUGCCAGCAGCCGCGGUAAUACGUAGGGUGCGAGCGUUAAUCGGAAUUACUGGGCGUAAAGCGUGCGCAGGCGGUUAUGUAAGACAGAUGUGAAAUCCCCGGGCUCAACCUGGGAACUGCAUUUGUGACUGCAUGGCUAGAGUACGGUAGAGGGGGAUGGAAUUCCGCGUGUAGCAGUGAAAUGCGUAGAUAUGCGGAGGAACACCGAUGGCGAAGGCAAUCCCCUGGACCUGUACUGACGCUCAUGCACGAAAGCGUGGGGAGCAAACAGGAUUAGAUACCCUGGUAGUCCACGCCCUAAACGAUGUCAACUGGUUGUUGGGAAUUAGUUUUCUCAGUAACGAAGCUAACGCGUGAAGUUGACCGCCUGGGGAGUACGGCCGCAAGGUUGAAACUCAAAUGAAUUGACGGGG